GCAGGGUUCUAGCAUUUUUAGUUGUAAGUAUUGAUUAUUUUUUUUGUGUUUUUCAUGUCUGAUGGUCUUGACAAAAUUGGAUUUGAAAUUUUGUAAUGUGGACCUAUGUGGGGAUAAAAGAUAACAGAAGUUAUGCCAUUGUUAACUUAAAGCUGUAAAUAGAAACAACCACCCCCACCCCUCUACACACACAUAAAAGGAAAUGAAAAGAUGGAUUAAUUUUUGAGGUUCACUUGAAUUUUUUUUUUGCCACCAUGAGAGAAAUAACCGAAGAAAACAUGGGCUUUCAUGUUCAAACUGAAUAAUAGUUGGUGGUUACUAAUUGAAAUUCCACAUUGCUCUUCAGGAAUAAUCUUGUACUGAAAAACACAAAAUAUAAUAGAAACAAUGUCUUGUGUGGUGUAGGCAGUAGUGGGGCUAGACAUUUUUUUAGGGGGCCAAUGCUUACCAAACAUAAUAUUAUUUUUGAAAUAGAAUUAUAUAUCUAAUAAUUGAUUCACUAAUUUAUGAGGGGUAUUUUUUUAGAAGAAAAGAAACAAAUCAAACUUAAACAAUGUAAAACUUACUAAAAGAAAUUAUAAAUCAAUCAUUAAUGAAUUUAUAUUAAUCUUUUAUGCAUAUAUAUAUUUAUAUGACAUUUUAUUAAUAACUUGC
rnacentral:misc_RNA from 1 species